UAUAAACAGUGUGGUGCUUAGCAAAU
rnacentral:piRNA from 1 species